UUGGCUCAGGAUGAACGCUGGCGGCGUGCCUAACACAUGCAAGUCGAACGGAGCAUAGACGCUGUGAGAAGAAUCAGCUUGCUGAGGAAGCGAACUUGUUUAUGCUUAGUGGCGGACGGGUGAGUAACGCGUGGAUAACCUGGCUCACACAGGGGGAUAGCAGCUGGAAACGACUGAUAAUACCGCAUAAGCGCACGGCAUCGCAUGAUGCAGUGUGAAAAGAUUUAUCGGUGUGAGAUGGAUCCGCGUCUGAUUAGCCAGUUGGCGGGGUAACGGCCCACCAAAGCGACGAUCAGUAGCCGGCCUGAGAGGGCGGACGGCCACAUUGGGACUGAGACACGGCCCAGACUCCUACGGGAGGCAGCAGUAGGGAAUA
rnacentral:rRNA from 1 species